UGCAGUCGAGCGCGGGAAGCGAGUGGAUCCCUUCGGGGUGAAGCUCGUGGAACGAGCGGCGGACGGGUGAGUAACACGUGGGCAACCUGCCUGUAAGAUCGGAAUAACCCCGGGAAACCGGGGCUAAUGCCGGGUAAUACUUUCUUUCGCAUGAAGGAAAGUUGAAAGAUGGCUUCUCGCUAUCACUUACAGAUGGGCCCGCGGCGCAUUAGCUAGUUGGUGAGGUAACGGCUCACCAAGGCGACGAUGCGUAGCCGACCUGAGAGGGUGAUCGGCCACACUGGGACUGAGACACGGCCCAGACUCCUACGGGAGGCAGCAGUAGGGAAUCUUCCGCAAUGGACGAAAGUCUGACGGAGCAACGCCGCGUGAACGAUGAAGGUCUUCGGAUCGUAAAGUUCUGUUGUUAGGGAAGAACAAGUACCGUGCGAAUAGAGCGGUACCUUGACGGUACCUAACGAGGAAGCCCCGGCUAACUACGUGCCAGCAGCCGCGGUAAUACGUAGGGGGCAAGCGUUGUCCGGAAUUAUUGGGCGUAAAGCGCGCGCAGGCGGUUCCUUAAGUCUGAUGUGAAAGCCCACGGCUCAACCGUGGAGGGUCAUUGGAAACUGGGGAACUUGAGGACAGAAGAGGAGAGUGGAAUUCCACGUGUAGCGGUGAAAUGCGUAGAUAUGUGGAGGAACACCAGUGGCGAAGGCGACUCUCUGGUCUGUUUCUGACGCUGAGGUGCGAAAGCGUGGGUAGCAAACAGGAUUAGAUACCCUGGUAGUCCACGCCGUAAACGAUGAGUGCUAGGUGUUAGGGGGCUUCCACCCCUUA
rnacentral:rRNA from 1 species